rnacentral:rRNA from 1 species
UCUGCCCUUCAGUCCGGGACAACUUUCCGAAAGGGGAGCUAAUACCGGAUAACAAUGUUUGACAUAAGUUGGAUAUUUGAAAGCUCCGGCGCUGAUGGAUGAGUCUGCGUCCCAUUAGCUUGUUGGUGCGGUAGUGGCGCACCAAGGCCACGAUGGGUAGCGGGUUUGAGAGGACGAUCCGCCACACUGGAACUGAGACACGGUCCAGACUCCUACGGGAGGCAGCAGUGGGGAAUAUUGCACAAUGGAGGAAACUCUGAUGCAGCAAUGCCGCGUGAGUGAAGAAGGCCCUUGGGUCGUAAAGCUCUUUUAUGGGGGAAGAUGAUGACGGUACCCCAAGAAUAAGCACCGGCUAACUACGUGCCAGCAGCCGCGGUAAUACGUAGGGUGCGAGCGUUGUUCGGAAUUACUGGGCGUAAAGGGCGCGCAGGCGGAGGUGCAA